CUGCAGAAGAAAAUUCCAAAGGGACAAGAGAAGUGCAAAGUGAAGAUAGCAACAAAGACUCCCCAGACUAUUUGCAGGACACUACAGCUAUGCCUCACAGACAGCACAGAGGUUGAAUACAAAGUCUUGAACAUAACAGGUUGGGCUUUCAGUAGCAGAAGACCUUCUCAGACCUCCUGGGACUCCAGGUUCAUAAAGGUAGAAGAUGAAGUCCAAAGUGUAGUUGUCAAUGCUGUGCAAGAGUUGAGUACUGAAAAGCAGUGGAAGACUGAUAUAACAAAUAAAGAAAAUAUGAUGGAAGCUACAAGAAAGCCAAAGAUGUAUGAAAGCUCUGAAGCUCUGCAGCGGAGGCUCUCCACCUAGCAGUGAGUGGUGUUCCUGCAGAAGCAGCUGGCACAGAGAAGACAGAGACCAUGGAAGAUUUAGGUUGUGCCCUUGGUACGAUGGUGAGAAUUUUCAACUACUCAGAAUAUGCACAUCAUUCAGGAUGAUGAGAUUUGUAUUUUUGGUGAAAAUGCGACACUGAAAUCCAGAGUUGGAAUAUUUUUAUUACUAUGAUCCCUGGAUGUGCAGAACCUGUGCCAUGGUCAUCCCUGACAUUGAACUGGUCUCUGAAAUGAUGUUGGCUGCUGAAGGGUUUAUUGAUGCCUGUCUGUUAGCCAGGAAGUUCAUCACCUUCCAACCUCUCUGCAGGGAGCUGCUCCCAGAACAGGUGUGGCUGCAGAAUAUGUUUUCAAACCUUACUCAGCUGGCAGCCAGUUAAGAAUAGGGAAUCAAAUGGUGGAAUACUGAAAAUUAAGCAGAUAUACAGGCGUGAUCAGUGACCUGUUUCCAUCUCUGGAUGUUCUGAGGAUGGGGAACCUACAGUCUGAGCAGAUGGUUAAACGAUCUACCCUGGAGCUGUACUUGCAGCCAGAAGAGAACUUUAUUCUAAAAGUAAACAAAUUCAUUGUCGUUAAUCAUUCCCCUUAAGAUUUUUUAUCAAAAUAAUUGCCAAUGAGUUGUUUGUAUUAGACACAAAGAUUAUUUUUGAAUAUGUUAAAACAUUGAUAAAGUGUCUCUCAAUGACUCAGUAUUUCAAAGGCAUUUCAUCAUGGCAGUAAUAUUCCUCAGUAUGAUAAAUAUGUCCAUUAGGAAACAUGUGUCCUGUUUGGAAAAGCUGUGUACAGUGACAAUCUAGAGUGACAAAAACGUUUGUUUGUGCAUGCUAAGAAGAACUUGUAUUUUGUAGUAAAUUCGUUUUUGGUCAGAUAUUUACAGUGAGGUAAGACUAAGGGAACAAAAACGCAUAAAUAAGAAGGUGUGGAUUGGGAAUGUGCAUGGAUACAUAUGACUUUUUGCUCUGGCUUUUAGGUAUAGUAUAGUCCAUGUUGUGCUAUACACAUUAAAUACAUGCAGGUACAUAUAUGCAUGCAUGUAUACUCACAAUAAUUAAUUUCCCAUAAUCUAAAUUUAGGCACUAAUUUAUUUUAAUUACGGACAGAGUGAAAAGGUGAAACAUAAAAACACUGGUUAGUACACAGACCAAAUAAAAAGUGUAUUUAUUCCCACCUUUUUUCAAGGAACUUUCACAUCUGCUGUACGUUCGUCCAAGGCAGCACAUCCUUAUCUUUAUUGGAGUAUAUUGGAAAUAACCAAGCUAGUUGAAUGUUACUGAUCAGAGGAUUUAUACAGGAUUUUCUACUCUUCUCUCCUAUUCCAUUAUCCUGACAGAAGGGUGAAAAACAGUAAGGUAUGCCUUGAGGUAUUAUGAACUCACAAUCAGCCUUCUAACAGAGUAUUUGUUUUACUGCUAACUGAGUAAAUCAGAAGACAAGCACUGAGGAUCAUGAACUUGUUCCUGUUAGACUUUGGAAAAUCACAAUGAAUACUCUUCACUAAAACAGAAAUCCACAAGCAGCCAAGCUAUUUCUAUUCUGUGACUUAUACAACUAUUUCUUUGGAAGCAAUGUAUUGCUUUAGGAGAUUGAUUUUGUAUUUUUCUGAAUUCCAGCUGUACAACUGAUUGCAGAAUCCACUCUGCCAAAGCAGUGGCAAAAUUGUGGUAACUGUUCUGUGUCCUUGGGUUUCCACAGUCCUGCUGGACUGUGUGGCUGUCUGGCAGAAUAGGAUUUGUUCUCACUUGCUGAGGUAACUGCUUUGAUUCCUUUGCACUACCUCUUACCAUUUUCUGAGAGACCGUGUUGCUUGAUGCAACAUUAGCUUUGCUGAGGCAAAUCUGCCAAGAAAGUGCAAGGUUUUUUUUCCUAUUAAAGGGAAUAAGAAUGCAGAGAGGGAAAAAAUCUUGUGAAUGAUUGUGUCUCUGUGAUAAGAACCACAGCAGGAGAGGAGAGGUGCUCACUGUGUGUCCUUUCUGUGUGUAAGGAUGUUCAGCUGGAGGAGCAGCCAGCAGUGUGUCACUCUGUGUUUGUUGGUGGAAUUGCAGGGAAUGGGAAGGGUAAGGUACCUGCCUGCCUAUGCAGCAUGUUUUCCAUCUCACCUUGUAAAGAAACUGCCACGGCUCUUGCACAAAAUAUUCUUCAUGUUGCCUUUGCCUGAGGCUGCAGGGUAAUAACAUACUGCUGAGGCCACUCGGUCAGCUGCAUGAUGAGCAAUAGAAAGUGCAAAUGUUGCAAGCAAAUUCUACAUUUUAUGUGCUGUUUGCAUGUCCCAAAGGACAGUUAAUCAUGGCAUGAAGUAAUGAACAUUCAAUUUGACAGAUAGACUAAGUAAUACUUUGUUCUGGAAGGAGAAGCAGGAUGUUUUAAUUAGACUCGUAGACAGACAUCAUGGAAUGUCCUGCCAAAACACUAGACAAAUAAUUCUAAUACAUAAUGCUUGCUUAUUUAUGCUACUAAAUGUUGGCAGCUGCAUAGAUUUUCUUCUCCAUUUAACACUUUCCAUUAGAAUUGAGUGCAGAAUAUGGGUAUUUCAGACUGGGAAUCUCCUUUUCUAUCCUUAGGCUUAAUGGAAAUUUGAGGCUAAACUAGCACAGAGACAAGAGUAAAUUCAUGUAAACUGUUGGCUGAGUACAGGGUUUCAGUCCAAGCUCCAGUUCAGAAAAAAGUGAACAAUUCCUACUAUGUGAAAAUGAUGCUACUAACAUUCACCCUGCUCCUUCCCUUCAGGUCCUGAAAGUUCUUCAUCACAUGUAUGCGAACACAAAUUCCCAUUUGGAAUUGACUUUUAAUGCAUAAGUUCUGACAGCUGAUGAACUGUGUGGUUUCAUACACCAGGAAACCUGAGAGUGGAAGGAUGGCAAGGAACACAUGUGUUCUUGCCAGGAUGUCAUUCUCCAUCCAAAAUGGACAAUACCAGAAUUCAGAGAAAAUAUAAGAGAUAGAAUUCUUCCAUUUUUCAGAGGUUUUGAUACAGCGGGACGUGGGUGCAGAGCACUGGUGGUUCUGGAAAGGCUGUAGGGCAGGGCAGGAUGCUGGUAGACAGAAGGUAUUAGCCUGCACAGUUCUAAUCCAGCUGCCUUGAGGGGCCUGUUAUUUUCACCCCAGACCCACAGCAUCUCCCUUAUAUCUCCUGUAUCAUGGAGACUAAUGACCAACUCUCCUGUAAUCAAAACAGAUCAUUAUUACAUAAAAUGCAGUCAUUUUGUUGUAUUGAGUGUUCACUGAAUUUUUUGUUAUUUUAAAUAACUACCUAAUAAAAAAGCAAAGGAAGCAAACAUGGGUUUGAUGUUCCAAAAGCUUCUUGUUUCAGUGGUGUUAUCUUCUGAAGUUUUAAUUGCAGUACAAUGUUGUUGUUUGAGGACUUAAGGGAUAAGAUUCGAUUGAAAUAUAAUUUGCAGUUCUCCUGUCAUCUUCUCUGAGAGGACAAGCCAAUAUUACCCAUGAGGGGUAAAAAAGGUUUGUUUUAAAUAGGGAUACAGCUCCUAUGUAGACUGAGUCACUCAACACUGUUAUGGGUGCUAACAAGGUGAGUCAUUGAGACACAAUUACAGUGGAUUUCCCUUUACCUGUUUUCCCAUUUGCUUCUUCCUCUAUUUUUCUGGAGACAGUUUUGCACUGUGCAUGCCUUUUUCUUUUAUUCUUAUAAUUUCUUUGAUUUUCACUAUUGCUAAGUAAUAUUUAAUGCCUAAUUUACACUUUACAUCUUGCCUAUUUGGCAUAGAAAAGAGCCUUAAAUUAGCCUAUGAAUACUGUAAUGAUGAUUGUGCCUCCUAGAUGUGAGCUGAUGUAACUCCAGAAAUCAAUGAUGAGAUUACUGAAACUGGUAUUUGGAAAGUCUCUCAGUAAAAUAGCUUUAAGAUUCCAUUAUUGAAGUCCUUGCAUCACUGUACUAUGGUAAUGCCUUAAGUUUAGCUUUUAUAUUUUUCAGAUUCUGUGCUGUUUUAUUGUGUGGUUCUGAGCUUCAUAUUAAGUGAUGGUAAGCUUUCUUCACAGAGUAGCUAGACAAAACAAUUCCUUUUCUAGCCUGAGACCAAGGACAAUCAAUACAAAUUUCAGGACCAAGAGCACAAACAAUGGUGGAAUGAAGAGAGAAAAACAAGAAGGAUGGGACUCCAUAACCUAAAGUUAUAAUUAAACAAUUAAUUCCAAUAUGCUAAUGGACCAAAACCUUUAGAAAUGUGACACCCCAUGACCAGUUGUCCAUUUGUGACCAUUUUGGGUCCAUCUUGGGUGUAGGCCUGGCUGGGCUCUUGUACCACCCGAGAUGUGUCCAUUGAGGCCUUUUAAUAAAUGCCUACUUUAUUCUUAAACUCUAUCUGGUCUCUGUUCUAGGUCAGUCUUCUCAAGGCAUUGAUGGGAGGUUAGUGUAGGAAAUCUAAAUCAGUCAGUCUAAGCACAGUAGGAUACAGCCUUCUUUCCUUCUUAUUAGUUAUACAGCUAAACCAGUUUUGUGGGCUCUCUGAAAUGCUGGAAUGUAAUGAAAUACAAAUCUAAUAUCUGAAUGUAAUCUUUGGAAAGUGAUGGGAGUUUUAUGCUUUCCUGUCUUAGAAACUUAAACCGUAGUAAUCCUCUGGUUACUCAGCAAGGUGCCUGGAGGGUUGAGCCAUAUAAUCUAACUUUUUUUGAGAAAUAGGAAGUGGCUUUUUCAAGAAACAUUUUGGAGUCUAACCUAAAUUUAGACUCCUGCUCUGAAUUAUCUUCUGAUUAUUUUCAUUGACCUUGAGAGAGGUUUUCCCCUCCUCUGCAUUUGUCUGCUUUCAGGAGAGCUCUCAUUGGCAAAGCAGGCUAGUCAUCUUUUAAAUUAAUUAAACUCUAAUAAACUCAUGCAAGGUCAAGUUAAACAUUUUGAAAUUGUCACCCUCUGUGAUUCUGGUAAAAAAACUAAGGCAUGUUUAAACAGAGUUUGUCUAGGUUGUUCAAGGAGCAGUAUAUGCAUUGUGUUGCAGAUAAUCCUCUGUGGCACUGUAAUAAACAUGAUUGAUCAUGUUCUUGUUAAACAACAUAUCUUAACUUUCUUUCCCUGAAAUGUUUACUGAUAAUUUCUAGGUUGUGACCCUGACAGAGUCAUAGGCACACAUUCAUUGCUUGUAAAUUCGGCUGCUGUUUGAGGUACAAGUUUAAGAGCUGCUGCCCCAGCUACAAUAUCCAGAGCUGGUAUUCAUCACCAGAAACCCCAGCGCCUGGAGUAGAACGUCCAAUCUACAUCGCUGCUAAUGGAUUACAUUUUCACCAGGUUUAAAAAAACAUCAGACAAAAUCCACAGAAACUUUAUGAUGCUGCUUCCAAUGAACAGUCUUUUUCUGCCAUGAGAAUAAAAGCAUGGAAGAUGACCACUGAAAGUAAUUCAGUUGAUUUGGGAAAUUAAGGUCAUACUUCAUCCCAUGAAGGAUUGACACCAGGCAUCAGCUAAAUAUCUUGUUAAGGAACAAGCUGUAAAGAUUUAAAAAAAGUGCCUUCCUUUUAAUUCAUCUGGACCGACCUGCGUCAUCCGGAGAGCCAGAAAGAGUAUUGGAUAAUGCAGUAAAGAGAGAAGCAUGCCCCCUCAUACUCCAUGAUGAUAUUUUCUGCGAUGUUUUGCAGUAUUUGCCUCCAACUUUCUUUCUUCACGUUCCCUGAUUACCAUCUACAGAAAGAUAGCUGGCUUCCACUUCCAGCAACAAGCUUUUGUUCCAUCAAUAAUCAAGAAGAUUUGAACCACAGUACAAGCAGACAUAUAUCUUCAACAGGCAAAGAUUCAAAACUUCCCAGCAACUGAUAUGAGGUUCCACUGCAUCCUAAAUAUGCGAGACCUCUCCAAUGGCUUUCAGGUAGAUCUUGCCAAGACGGGUGCCAAGAACAUGCCCACAGUGUUUUUGCUGACAGAUGCCCAAGUUCCAGAUGAAUGCUUUCUUGUGCUGAUUAAUGACUUGUUGGCAUCAGGAGAGGCUCCAGAUCUGUUCUGCGAUGAAGACAUGAAUGUCACAACUGCAGCAGUUAGAAAAGAAGUCUGAGCCCUGGGCCUGAUGGACAUCAGCAAACACUCCUGGAGGUGAUUCCCGAGGCUGUGGCUGCAACAGAAACCACUCAUCCAGAACUCCACGGUUUAUGGGGAUUUUAUGGCUUCUGCCUGCACCAGUGUGAAUGUCCUGAGUGCCAAGUACAAUAGGCAGUACAACUGCACCACUCCAAAUAGUUUUCUGGAGUAAAUCAUGCUUUAUAAUGUCCUCCUGGACAAAAUACAAAACAAGAGGCUGUCAUGACACAUGGAACACUUGGUAAAGGCAUGCAGAAGCUUUCUUCAGAAAGAGGGAAGCCAGCAGCUUUCCAGCAAGGCUCUGCUGGAGUUAUGUGCUCAGAGUGAAUACCAAGCACUUUUCAGGGCAUCCCUCUGCCCUUGCACUGGCGCCUUUGCCGAGGGCAGCAGCUGCGCCUCUUUUGCACCGCUGCAAUAUCUGACUGCAGCCCCAGCCUCAGCAGCAGGACAGACAUCUGAGCAUCCCAGGUAGAAGAUCUAAAAUCCAAACUUGCUACUCAAGAGGCAGAACUGCAACUGAAAAAUCAAGGUACUGAAGCUUUGAUUGCUAAGAUAGGGUGUCAGACUGAGAAACUGAGCCAAGAAAAGGCCAUUGCAGAUGCAGAGGAGCUAAAGGUUUAAGCAAGACCUGACAGGAAAUGAGUCUGUGAGAUGAGCAUGAGGUACAAGGAUAAGGAUGAACCAAGUAUAACUGACUUCAGCCUCAGGCAAUGUAUCUUUAAAAGUGUGCAUGGUUGAAUUUAGGGGGAGAAGAUUUGACCCUGCAUCACUCUUUUCUGUGUACCUUUGGGGACAAACUCAAGCCAGCCUGAGAACCACUGGGAUUUAUUGAAUGCAGAACCAGGAGAAAACGAAAGAGAGAACAUUCCAUUACAUUUAUGCAAUUUCCCCCUAAUUUCCCAAGCAAGACAUAAAUCACAGAUUGUAUUUGUUACAGUGAAUACUUCUGUAUUUUGGGGAAAAUAUUUUUGCCUUGUACUGAACAACAUUUCUAAAUCAAUUAGCGAGUGCAAGGUUCCAGUUUUACCUUUGAAGUGAAAGUAGGAUUUAGCUUCUGCUUCUCACAAAAAUUGCACAUUAUAUACACUAUAACUUCUCAUAGGUUGAUGACUCUUGGCAAGAUUUAAUCAACUAUGAUAAGGAACAUAUUUUUCAGCAUUGUCUGAAGGUCGCCAGGUAACAUUACUUGAAGGAUCCACAUUUCAAACUAAAUUAUGUUCAUACAGAAUCCUUUGCAGCAGGUGGUCUCUGUUCCUGGGCCAUCAAUAGAGUAAAAAUCAGUGAGGUAUGUAUAUAUCAGCUCUUGAACUAGCCCUAGUGGGGGAAUUUCAAUAAUGAUUUUUUUUUUAUUAUUUUAUUAGGCUCAGCUUAAUGUUUUGGGGAGCUUGUAACAACCACCAGAGACCAAGUGGGAAGUGUUCAGUACUUGGCAGUAUGUAUGCAUGUAUUUCCUUUUAUUAGGAAGUGGUAAAAAAGAUGUAGCUGUCCAGGAUUUUUCAGCUGUCAUUACGAUGCAACAGUUGGAAAAUAUUCUCCAGAUGUACAUGUUUCACUUGAAACAUCCAUCCUGGCUCUGGCUGUCUGGAGUAUGAGACAGGGCUUAUCACUUGUGAUUCCCUGGAGCACCUGGCAGCAGGAUUUCUCCAUUCAUCCUAGCAUUAUAGCAUGCUCAUUUAAUUACUGAACAGUAAAGAACUUAUCAAUUGUAGAUGAAAUCUACUCAAGUGUAAUGACUGUCUCAUUUCCACCUGUAUUCUAAAAUCAUGAAAGUGAUACCUAUAACUUAAUUCUAGUUGGAGAGUAGACCCACUAAGAUGGCAUUUAGUUUGCUAAAAGUGUUCUUCUAUAGAUUAUCAUAAAAUCUUCUGUAGUCAGUAAUGAAAGAAAUCUUUGCCUGCCUCACUGUUGUGUAGAAAAAUGGGUCUAAAACAAAGAUAUGUAAUGAAAGACUACUGGGAUUAUCUUAAAGUCUUUCAUCAGGAAUAGUUUGUAAUUUUUGUGAUAAAAUGGGACCAAUUUCUUCUCUAAUGUACUAAUGUGAUAUGUCUUUUUCAAGGUGUAUUGUGAGAGAGAACCAAAAUAUUGUGCAGUGGCUCAGGCUAACACUGAAUUAGCAGCAGCUGUAGAAAAACUAGAAGUCAUCAGGGAAAAGCUUCUUGUAAAUAUGGCUUGAUUAAUAAACAUUCUAUAACACCUCGAGCCCCCUUAAUUUCAUUAACUUUUAUUUAUUUAUUUUAAUGUGUUUUAUUUUUAUUGAUUUUAUUACUACCUCGUUCAAAUAUCAAAGGCAUGCUCUCAUUAGGGAUUAUCACUAUUUUCCCCAGAAAUGUACUGAAGACCAUUGUGCAGCUUGGGUGGCAGCCCAUGAAGCUUUUUACCCAAAAUGACUGAAUUUCCUCAAAGCCAUCUAGGCACAUUAUAACUAAUAAUUGGAAUGGUGGUUGAUAAAAGUAACUGACUGUGAGUUUUCCAAGGAAUAUAUGCCAAAUUUUUACACCAGUAAUGACCUACUGCAGUAUAGCAAUAACAUCCAGAAAAGGGCUUUAGAAGCUCAAGCUCAUUUGCGUUAACAUUUGUCAUUAAACAUACGAUAAAAGCAGCAUCAAAUCUCCUCUGAUUUUCUGAAAGACCCACAAACAUGGGUACACGUGUGCUCACAUGCACAUAGAAGAGGAAACUUUGUUUAUUCUUUUACUGACAAGUGUCUUGUGAGUUAAUGAUGUAAUUGAGGACCCCACUUGUCAUCAAGUAUCUAUUGAACUUUUGAGAGGGAUUAUUUGUUGUGUAAGUAUGCAUUUAAUGGAGCAACUGCAGCACAAAGCACUCUUGAUACAAAGACAUCUCAUGGUAUCUUGGGAGAUGGUGGGUGGUAGGAGUUUCUGCUGCAAGCUAAUCAACCUUACUAAGCAAAGAAAUCUUCAAAUGCUUUGAAAGCUGUGACACUAAUUAGGUUUAAAAGACUUUGACUUUGCCUCAGACCUUUUUGUUGGUAAUAUUUAGAUCUGUAACCUCCCAAUUUAAGAUAUCAAGCAAUAAAGGCUGAACAAAUCUGUAAUGUGGCAUUUAUUCUCAUUGCUUUCUCUUGAACUGGCAUUUUAAAAGAAUGACAACAUUCACUUUUAUGGAAAUUCUUGCAAGCCCGUGAGUUAUGGUAUUUUAUAAUUUAAUUCUUUAUUUCAGGAAUUUCCUGGUUUUCUUCCUGCUAUUUUAAUAUCAAUUUUUUUUCUUGUUGUAAAGGAGAUACAGUUUUAAUGGCUAAACAAAGACAGAUUAUACCAUCUGGCUUUAUCUUCUGAUCCCUCUGACCCCCACCCAAAAAAUCCCAUCAGCUGUUACAGCAGGUAUUUUUCUUCCAUGUGAAACAGCCUUAGCCUUAUGACCUUGGAGUUGCCCGUUUACAUCAAAAUCUACCCUAAUGAAGCCUCUGUCUGCACUAAAAGACAGUUUUAUGGAAGCAUCAUGCUUUUUAUUUCACACAUCUAUACUGAUAUGGGUCCACUAAGUACAAACACUUUUGGACAAAAAUAGCCUUCUAGUGUUGUUUUGGGGAGAUUUUAUAUUUUUUGCCUUUUUUUAAUACACAGCAGUCACCCCUGAAACUCUUAGAAUCUUUUAUUGUUUUAAUGUGCUCCUCUGAAAAAAACACUAAUACAUCUCUUUUCCUUGCCUGACAGUAUCUCAAAUAACCUUUUCCUGGUUUAGGUGACCUUGCAAUCAAUCAUCUUCCAAAUCCAAAUCUUUUUUUGCAAUUUUUA